AUUGAACGCUGGCGGCAUGCUUUACACAUGCAAGUCGAACGGCAGCGCGGGCUUCGGCCUGGCGGCGAGUGGCGAACGGGUGAGUAAUGCAUCGGAACGUGCCCAGUAGUGGGGGAUAGCCCGGCGAAAGCCGGAUUAAUACCGCAUACGACCUGAGGGUGAAAGCGGGGGACCGAAAGGCCUCGCGCUAUUGGAGCGGCCGAUGUCGGAUUAGCUAGUUGGUGAGGUAAAGGCUUACCAAGGCGACGAUCCGUAGCUGGUCUGAGAGGACGACCAGCCACACUGGGACUGAGACACGGCCCAGACUCCUACGGGAGGCAGCAGUGGGGAAUUUUGGACAAAGGGGGCAACCCUGAUCCAGCCAUGCCGCGUGCGGGAAGAAGGCCUUCGGGUUGUAAACCGCUUUUGUUCGGGAAGAAAUCCUCUGGGCUAAUACCCCGGGGGGAUGACGGCACCGGAAGAAUAAGCACCGGCUAACUACGUG
rnacentral:rRNA from 1 species